ACUCCUACGGGAGGCAGCAGUGGGGAAUAUUGGACAAUGGGCGCAAGCCUGAUCCAGCCAUGCCGCGUGAGUGACGAAGGCCUUAGGGUUGUAAAGCUCUUUUAGCAGGGAUGAUAAUGACAGUACCUGCAGAAUAAGCCCCGGCUAACUUCGUGCCAGCAGCCGCGGUAAUACGAAGGGGCUAGCGUUGUUCGGAAUUACUGGGCGUAAAGCGCGUGUAGGUGGCUUGUUAAGCCAGAUGUGAAAGCCCCGGGCUCAACCUGGGAACUGCAUUUGGAACUGGCAGGCUAGAGUUUUGUAGAGGGUGGUAGAAUUUCAGGUGUAGCGGUGAAAUGCGUAGAGAUCUGAAGGAAUACCGGUGGCGAAGGCGACCACCUGGCCAAUAACUGACACUGAGACGCGAAGGCGUGGGUAGCAAACGGGAUUAGAUACCCUGGUAGCGAG
rnacentral:rRNA from 1 species